UACGUAGGGGGCAAGCGUUAUCCGGAAUUACUGGGUGUAAAGGGUGCGUAGGUGGCGAUUUAAGUCAGAUGUGAAAACUCAGGGCUCAACCUUGAGACUGCAUCUGAAACUGGGUUGCUAGAGUGCAGGAGAGGAAAGCGGAAUUCCGAGUGUAGCGGUGAAAUGCGUAGAUAUUCGGAGGAACACCAGUAGCGAAGGCGGCUUUCUGGACUGUAACUGACACUGAGGCACGAAAGCGUGGGGAGCGAACAGG
rnacentral:rRNA from 1 species